GUCUGGGUGUUGUAGUUGGUUAUCACGUUAGUCUCACACACUAAAGGUCUCCAGUUCGAACCUGGUCUCAGACA
rnacentral:tRNA from 1 species